AGUGAACGCUGGCGGUAGGCCUAACACAUGCAAGUCGAACGGCAGCACAGUAAGAGCUUGCUCUUACGGGUGGCGAGUGGCGGACGGGUGAGGAAUACAUCGGAAUCUACUUUUUCGUGGGGGAUAACGUAGGGAAACUUACGCUAAUACCGCAUACGCCCUACGGGGGAAAGCGGGGGAUCUUCGGACCUUGCGCGAUUGAAUGAGCCGCUGUCGGAUUGGCUAGUUGGCGGGGUAAAGGCCCACCAAGGCGACGAUCCGUAGCUGGUCUGAGAGGCUGAUCAGCCACACUGGAACUGAGACACGGUCCAGACUCCUACGGGAGGCAGCAGUGGGGAAUAUUGGACAAUGGGCGCAAGCCUGAUCCAGCCAUACCGCGUGGGUGAAGAAGGCCUUCGGGUUGUAAAGCCCUUUUGUUGGGAAAGAAAAGCAGCAGGUUAAUACCCCGCUGUUCUGACGGUACCCAAUGAAUAAGCACCGGCUAACUUCGUG
rnacentral:rRNA from 1 species